AUUCAUCGGUUUGGUUAAAUUUCGCAAAAACCGUGGAAGAAUGAAUGCGGAAUAAAUUGCGUGAAAAAAUAUCUCUGGAUUCUCUUUUGCAGCCGCGAUAUCCAAAGGUAUAAAGGCGCAUUAUAAAUUGAUGGAAAAAGAACACAGGAGCGUAGCGUUGCCGCAAUUUGAUUGCAGCCCCUUAAUGGAUUAAAUCCAUCAAACUGCGCAACCGUAGUUCCUCAACCGCCAUAACAAUUAACUCUAAAAUCUCAGACGCGAUCCGCUAACUGUUUCCUAGCCAAUGCAUCCGCCGCGUAAUGCACAGUCUCGAGGCAUUCGUAACGGCGGAAAGGGGUUGUAACGCGAAACGGGGCAGGGGGCGGGGGCUGCUUGGUUACGUCUUACAGGAGCCAGAGAGCGAGAACAGAAUACGGCACGAGAGGUAUGGGAAGACAUCGGUGAUAGGAGGUGAGAUUGGCCGCCGGUUUACUCCGUCCGGAUGUGCAGUUCAAACGUAGCAUAUCGUCGAUCCGGUAUUUCCUCCUUAACCCGUGUAUCGACGGCCCUUGAGAGGGUAAUUCUGCGGAACAAGAGACGUCAGGUACACACGGGUCCCGGAAGUAUGCGAAGCAUGUUCGAAACACCGCUUUGACGUUCGACCGUUUCCUACGUGUGUGUGUAUAUAUACACGUGCAC
rnacentral:misc_RNA from 1 species